AACGAACGCUGGCGGCAUGCCUAACACAUGCAAGUCGAACGAGACCUUCGGGUCUAGUGGCGCACGGGUGCGUAACGCGUGGGGACCUGCCCUUAGGUUCGGAAUAACUCCCCGAAAGGGGUGCUAAUACCGGAUAAUGUCUUCGGACCAAAGAUUUAUCGCCUUUGGAUGGGCCCGCGUUGGAUUAGCUAGUUGGUAGGGUAAAAGCCUACCAAGGCGACGAUCCAUAGCUGGUCUGAGAGGAUGAUCAGCCACACUGGGACUGAGACACGGCCCAGACUCCUACGGGGGGCAGCAGGGGGGAAUAUUGGAAAAUGGGCGAAAGCCUGAUCCAGCAAUGCCGGGUGAGGGAUGAAGGCCUUAGGGUUGUAAAGCUCUUUUACCCGGGAUGAUAAUGACAGUACCGGGAGAAUAAGCCCCGGCUAACUCCGU
rnacentral:rRNA from 1 species